GACGAACGCUGGCGGCGUGCUUAACACAUGCAAGUCGAACGGAGUGGCGAACGGGUGAGUAACACGUGGGUGACCUGCCCUGCACUUCGGGAUAAGCCUGGGAAACUGGGUCUAAUACCGGAUAGUGUGGGAUGGGCCCGCGGCCUAUCAGCUUGUUGGUGGGGUAAUGGCCUACCACGGCGGCGACGGGUAGCCGACCUGGGAGGGUGGACGGCCACCAUGGGCCUACGGCACGGCCCAGACGGCUACAGGGGGCAGCGGUGGCGAGUAUUACGCAGUGAGCGGAAGCCUGAUACGGCGGCGCCGCGUGGGGGAUGACGGCCUUCGGGGUGUAAACUCCUUUCACCAUCGACGCGGUAGAUGGAGAAGAAGCACCGGCUAACUACGUGCCAGCAGCCGCGGUAAUUC
rnacentral:rRNA from 1 species